rnacentral:rRNA from 1 species
CCUACGGGAGGCAGCAGUGGGGAAUAUUGGACAAUGGGGGGAACCCUGAUCCAGCGACGCCGCGUGAGUGAAGAAGUCUUUCGGUAUGUAAAGCUCUAUCAGCAGGGAAGAAAAUUACGGUACCUGACUACGACGCCCCGGCUAACUACGUGCCAGCCGCCGCGGUACUACGUAGGGGGCAAGCGUUAUCCGGAUUUACUGGGUGUAACGGGAGCGUAGACGGUGCAGCAAGUCUGCGGUGAAAUGUCGGGGCCCAACCCCGGGACUGCAUUGGAAACUGUUGAACUGGAGUACAGGAGAGGUAAGCGGAAUUCCUAGUGUAGCGGGGAAAUGCGUAGAUAUCAGGAGGAACCCCAGUGGCGAAGGCGGCUUACUGGACUGUAACUGACGUUGAGGCUCGAAAGCGUGGGGAGCAAACAGGAUUAGAUACCCGUGUAGUC